GACGGAGGAUGCAAGUGUUAUCCGGAAUCACUGGGCGUAAAGCGUCUGUAGGUGGUUUAAAAAGUCUACUGUUAAAGCUUGAAGCUUAACUUCAAAAAUGCCGUAGAAACUUUUAAACUUGAGUAUGGUAGGGGUAGAGGGAAUUUCCAGUGGAGCGGUGAAAUGCGUAGAUCUUGGAAAGACCACCAAUGGCGAAGGCACUCUACUGGGCCAUUACUGACACUCAGAGACGAAAGCUAGGGGAGCAAAUGGG
rnacentral:rRNA from 1 species